rnacentral:lncRNA from 1 species
AUGCGCGGCCCUUACUCAGCCACUCCGUCUCGGCCUCCAGCAGCAGGAUGUCCCGCAGCUGCCUCCGGAGGCUCUCGUUCUCCCGCUGGGUGCGGGCGCUCUCCUCCCGGUACUCGCUCACCGCGUCCUGCACCACGCCCAGGAUGUCCUUCACCACCACGGCCAGCCGCUCCGUCAGGUAGGCGUUCAGGAGCUGCAGUUUGGUCAUCGUGGAGACGCGGACAGCCACACCGGAAACAGAGCGGGCGACAACAGGAAGCGGGUUCGCUGCCUUCCGGCGAUGCACGGCGUUCCUUCAAAAUAAAAACUCGGUGGAAGACUCAUCCACCACAAGACUCGGGAGAAGACUCAUCCAUCACAAGACUCGGUGGAAGACUCAUCCAUCACAAGACUCGGAAGAAGACUCAUCCAUCACAAGACUCGGGGAAGACUCAUCCAUCACAAGACUCGGAAGAAGACUCAUCCAUCACAAGACUCGGGGAAGACUCAUCCAUCACAAGACUCGGUGGAAGACUCAUCCACCACAAGACUGGGGGGAAGACUCAUCCAUCACAAGACUCGGAAGAAGACUCAUCCAUCACAAGACUCGGGGAAGACUCAUCCAUCACAAGACUCGGUGGAAGACUCAUCCACCACAAGACUGGGGGGAAGACUCAUCCAUCACAAGACUCGGAAGAAGACUCAUCCAUCACUAGACUCGGGAGAAGACUCAUCCAUCACUAGACUCGGGGGAAGACUCAUCCAUCACUAGACUCGGGGGAAGACUCAUCCACCACAAGACUCGGGAGAAGACUCAUCCAUCACAAGACUCGGGAGAAGACUCAUCCAUCACAAGACUCGGUGGAAGACUCAUCCACCACAAGACUCGGGAGAAGACUCAUCCACCACAAGACUCGGGGGAAGACUCAUCCAUCACUAGACUCGGGGGAAGACUCAUCCACCACUAGACUCGGGAGAAGACUCAUCCAUCAUAAGCCUCGGGGGAAGACUCAUCCACCACAUGACUCGGAAGAAGACUCAUCCAUCACUAGACUCGGGAGAAGACUCAUCCAUCAUAAGCCUCGGGGGAAGACUCGUCCACCACAUGACUCGGGAGAAGACUCAUCCAUCACAAGACUCGGUGGAAGACUCAUCCAUCACAAGACUCGGUGGAAGACUCAUCCACCACAAGACUCGGGAGAAGACUCAUCCAUCACAAGACUCGGUGGAAGACUCAUCCAUCACAAGACUCGAGGGAAGACUCAUCCAUCACAAGACUCGGAAGAAGACUCAUCCAUCACAAGACUCGGGGAAGACUCAUCCAUCACAAGACUCGGUGGAAGACUCAUCCACCACAAGACUGGGGGGAAGACUCAUCCAUCACAAGACUCGGAAGAAGACUCAUCCAUCACAAGACUCGGGGACGACUCAUCCAUCACAAGACUCGGUGGAAGACUCAUCCACCACAAGACUGGGGGGAAGACUCAUCCAUCACUAGACUCGGGAGAAGACUCAUCCAUCACUAGACUCGGGGGAAGACUCAUCCAUCACUAGACUCGGGGGAAGACUCAUCCACCACAAGACUCGGGAGAAGACUCAUCCAUCACAAGACUCGGGAGAAGACUCAUCCAUCACAAGACUCGGUGGAAGACUCAUCCACCACAAGACUCGGGAGAAGACUCAUCCACCACAAGACUCGGGAGAAGACUCAUCCAUCACAAGACUCGGGAGAAGACUCAUCCAUCACUAGACUCGGGAGAAGACUCAUCCAUCACUAGACUCGGGAGAAGACUCAUCCAUCACUAGACUCGGGGGAAGACUCAUCCAUCACUAGACUCGGGAGAAGACUCAUCCACCACUAGACUCGGGAGAAGACUCAUCCAUCAUAAGCCUCGGGGGAAGACUCAUCCACCACAUGACUCGGAAGAAGACUCAUCCAUCACUAGACUCGGGAGAAGACUCAUCCAUCAUAAGCCUCGGGGGAAGACUCGUCCACCACAAGACUCAGGGGAAGACUCAUCCAUCACAAGACUCGGGAGAAGACUCAUCCAUCACUAGACUCGGGAGAAGACUCAUCCAUCAUAAGCCUUGGGGGAAGACUCGUCCACCACAUGACUCGGAGGAAGACUCAUCCAUCACAAGCCUCAGGGGAAGACUCGUCCACCACAAGCCUCAGGGGAAGACUCAUCCAUCACAAGACUCGGGAGAAGACUCGUCCACCACAAGCCUCAGGGGAAGACUCGUCCACCACAAGCCUCAGGGGAAGACUCAUCCAUCACAAGACUCGGGAGAAGACUCAUCCACCACAAGCCUCAGGGGAAGACUCGUCCACCACAAGCCUCAGGGGAAGACUCAUCUACCACAAGCCUCAGGGGAAGACUCGUCCACCACAAGCCUCAGGGGAAGACUCAUCCAUCACUAGACUCGGGAGAAGACUCAUCCAUCACUAGACUCAGGAGAAGACUCAUCCACCACAAGCCUCAGGGGAAGACUCGUCCACCACAAGCCUCAGGGGAAGACUCAUCUACCACAAGCCUCAGGGGAAGACUCGUCCACCACAAGCCUCAGGGGAAGACUCAUCCACCACAAGACUCGGAAGAAGACUCAUCCAUCACUAGACUCGGGAGAAGACUCAUCCAUCACUAGACUCGGGAGAAGACUCAUCCAUCAUAAGCCUCGGGGGAAGACUCGUCCACCACAAGCUUCGGGGGAAGACUCGUCCACCACAAGACUCGGAAGAAGACUCAUCCAUCACUAGACUCGGGAGAAGACUCAUCCAUCAUAAGACUCGGAAGAAGACUCAUCCAUCACAAGACUCGGGAGAAGACUCAUCCACCACAAGACUCGGAAGAAGACUCAUCCAUCACUAGACUCGGGAGAAGACUCAUCCAUCACUAGACUCGGGAGAAGACUCAUCCAUCAUAAGCCUCGGGGGAAGACUCGUCCACCACAAGACUCGGAAGAAGACUCAUCCAUCACUAGACUCGGGAGAAGACUCAUCCAUCAUAAGACUCGGAAGAAGACUCAUCCAUCACAAGACUCGGGAGAAGACUCAUCCAUCACUAGACUCAGGAGAAGACUCGUCCAUCAUAAGCCUCGGGGGAAGACUCGUCCACCACAAGACUCGGAAGAAGACUCAUCCAUCACAAGACUCGGGAGAAGACUCAUCCACCACAAGCCUCAGGGGAAGACUCAUCCACCACAAGCCUCAGGGGAAGACUCGUCCACCACAAGACUCGGAAG